GAAUGAACGCCUAGCUACAGGCUUAACACAUGCAAGUCGAGGGGCAGCAUGGUCUUAGCUUGCUAAGGCCGAUGGCGACCGGCGCACGGGUGAGUAACACGUAUCCAACCUGCCGUCUACUCUUGGACAGCCUUCUGAAAGGAAGAUUAAUACAAGAUGGCAUCAUGAGUCCGCAUGUUCACAUGAUUAAAGGUAUUCCGGUAGACGAUGGGGAUGCGUUCCAUUAGAUAGUAGGCGGGGUAACGGCCCACCUAGUCUUCGAUGGAUAGGGGUUCUGAGAGGAAGGUCCCCCACAUUGGAACUGAGACACGGUCCAAACUCCUACGGGAGGCAGCAGUGAGGAAUAUUGGUCAAUGGGCGAGAGCCUGAACCAGCCAAGUAGCGUGAAGGAUGACUGCCCUAUGGGUUGUAAACUUCUUUUAUAAAGGAAUAAAGUCGGGUAUGGAUACCCGUUUGCAUGUACUUUAUGAAUAAGGAUCGGCUAACUCCGUGCCAGCAGCCGCGGUAAUACGGAGGAUCCGAGCGUUAUCCGGAUUUAUUGGGUUUAAAGGGAGCGUAGAUGGAUGUUUAAGUCAGUUGUGAAAGUUUGCGGCUCAACCGUAAAAUUGCAGUUGAUACUGGAUAUCUUGAGUGCAGUUGAGGCAGGCGGAAUUCGUGGUGUAGCGGUGAAAUGCUUAGAUAUCACGAAGAACUCCGAUUGCGAAGGCAGCCUGCUAAGCUGCAACUGACAUUGAGGCUCGAAAGUGUGGGUAUCAAACAGGAUUAGAUACCCUGGUAGUCCACACGGUAAACGAUGAAUACUCGCUGUUUGCGAUAUACUGCAAGCGGCCAAGCGAAAGCGUUAAGUAUUCCACCUGGGGAGUACGCCGGCAACGGUGAAACUCAAAGGAAUUGACGGGGGCCCGCACAAGCGGAGGAACAUGUGGUUUAAUUCGAUGAUACGCGAGGAACCUUACCCGGGCUUAAAUUGCAGAUGAAUUACGGUGAAAGCCGUAAGCCGCAAGGCAUCUGUGAAGGUGCUGCAUGGUUGUCGUCAGCUCGUGCCGUGAGGUGUCGGCUUAAGUGCCAUAACGAGCGCAACCCUUGUUGUCAGUUACUAACAGGUUCCGCUGAGGACUCUGACAAGACUGCCAUCGUAAGAUGUGAGGAAGGUGGGGAUGACGUCAAAUCAGCACGGCCCUUACGUCCGGGGCUACACACGUGUUACAAUGGGGGGUACAGAGGGCCGCUACCACGCGAGUGGAUGCCAAUCCCCAAAACCUCUCUCAGUUCGGACUGGAGUCUGCAGCCCGACUCCACGAAGCUGGAUUCGCUAGUAAUCGCGCUUCAGCCACGGCGCGGUAAAUACGUUUCCCGGGCCCU
rnacentral:rRNA from 1 species